UUCGGAGGAGGACGUCGAAGGUGGGGCUGAUGACUGGGGUGAAGUCGUAACAAGGUAUCCGUACCGGAAGGUGCGGAUGGAUCACCUCCUAACAGGGAGACAACACAAAGAUUUUGAUGUCUGAGUAAUUUAUUCUUAGGCCGAAAUCCUGUCACCUUAGGUCGAUCGGUACCUCAGCGUUGAAGCAACAGAGUUAACAGAGAUGUUGAUGCGUGUUGUGGAGAUGAUCAGUUCCUAAACUUUGUCUAGGUCACACCCCACAAGGGUUGAGUUUUCCUGGGCCAUUAGCUCAGGUGGUUAGAGCGCACCCCUGAUAAGGGUGAGGUCCCUGGUUCAAGUCCAGGAUGGCCCAUUCGUUGUUGGGGGUAUAGCUCAGUUGGUAGAGCGCCUGCUUUGCAAGCAGGAUGUCAGCGGUUCGAGUCCGCUUACCUCCACUGAAAACUAUCCUGAUAACUAAAUUUCUGGAGAAAAAAAUUGUAGAUGUGGCUUAGAAUUGUCUAUUUGAAAAGAACCUAGCUUCUUGUCAUCUUUUUAUAGUUGAUAAAAUGCUGGGCUCGCAUGGAUUGUUUCCAUGAGAAUUCAGUAGAACCUUGAAAACUGCAUAGAUUAGAAAGAAUAAAGCAUCUCAUGGAUGCAUAGUUCUGUUUUUAUAAUUUAGCCUCAAAACUAAAUUAUUUAAUUCUAGAAUUCAUGUUUAAUUCUUGAGUAAUAGCCGAGCACAAUUGAUUUUGUGAUUGUAUUAAGGUCAAGCUACAA
rnacentral:misc_RNA from 1 species